rnacentral:rRNA from 1 species
AUUGAACGCUGGCGGCAGGCCUAACACAUGCAAGUCGAGCGGGGUUUUCGGACCUAGCGGCGGACGGGUGAGUAAUGCGUAGGAAGCUACCCGAUAGAAGGGGAUACCAGUUGGAAACGACUGUUAAUACCGCAUAAUGUCUACGGACCAAAGUGUGGGACCUUCGGGCCACAUGCUAUCGGAUGCGCCUACGUGGGAUUAGCUAGUUGGUGGGGUAAUGGCUCACCAAGGCGACGAUCCCUAGCUGGUUUGAGAGGAUGAUCAGCCACACUGGAACUGAGACACGGUCCAGACUCCUACGGGAGGCAGCAGUGGGGAAUAUUGGACAAUGGGCGCAAGCCUGAUCCAGCCAUGCCGCGUGUGUGAAGAAGGCCUUCGGGUUGUAAAGCACUUUCAGUAGGGAGGAAGAGUUGAGUGUUAAUAGUACUCAGCUUUGACGUUACCUACAGAAGAAGCACCGGCUAACUCUGUGCCAGCAGCCGCCGUAACAC